rnacentral:rRNA from 1 species
AGUGAACGCUGGCGGUAGGCCUAACACAUGCAAGUCGAACGGCAGCACAGAGGAGCUUGCUCCUUGGGUGGCGAGUGGCGGACGGGUGAGGAAUACAUCGGAAUCUACUCUGUCGUGGGGGAUAACGUAGGGAAACUUACGCUAAUACCGCAUACGACCUACGGGUGAAAGCAGGGGAUCUUCGGACCUUGCGCGAUUGAAUGAGCCGAUGUCGGAUUAGCUAGUUGGCGGGGUAAAGGCCCACCAAGGCGACGAUCCGUAGCUGGUCUGAGAGGAUGAUCAGCCACACUGGAACUGAGACACGGUCCAGACUCCUACGGGAUGCAGCAGUGGGGAAUAUUGGACAAUGGGCGCAAGCCUGAUCCAGCCAUACCGCGUGGGUGAAGAAGGCCUUCGGGUUGUAAAGCCCUUUUGUUGGGUAAGAAAUCCAUCUGGUUAAUACCCGGGUGGGAUGACGGUACCCAAAGAAUAAGCACCGGCUAACUUCGUGCCAGCCGCCGCAGUAG